GUGGAUAACCUACCUAUAAGACUGGGAUAACUUCGGGAAACCGGAGCUAAUACCGGAUAAUAUUUUGAACCGCAUGGUUCAAAAGUGAAAGACGGUCUUGCUGUCACUUAUAAUGGAUCCGCGCUGCAUUAGCUAGUUGGUAAGGUAACGGCUUACCAAGGCAACGAUGCAUAGCCGACCUGAGAGGGUGAUCGGCCACACUGGAACUGAGACACGGUCCAGACUCCUACGGGAGGCAGCAGUAGGGAAUCUUCCGCAAUGGGCGAAAGCCUGACGGAGCAACGCCCGUGAGUGAUAAGGUUUCGGAUCGUAAAACUCUGUUAUUAGGGAAGAACAUAUGUGUAAGUAACUGUGCACAUCUUGACGGUACCUAAUCAGAAAGCCACGGCUAACUACGUGCCAGCAGCCGCGGUAAUACGUAGGUGGCAAGCGUUAUCCGGAAUUAUUGGGCGUAAAGCGCGCGUAGGCGGUUUUUUAAGUCUGAUGUGAAAGCCCACGGCUCAACCGUGGAGGGUCAUUGGAAACUGGAAAACUUGAGUGCAGAAGAGGAAAGUGGAAUUCCAUGUGUAGCGGUGAAAUGCGCAGAGAUAUGGAGGAACACCAGUGGCGAAGGCGACUUUCUGGUCUGUAACUGACGCUGAUGUGCGAAAGCGUGGGGUCAAACAGGAUUAGAUACCUGGAGUCCACGCCGUAAACGAUGAGUGCUAAGUGUUAGGGGGUUUCCGCCCCUUAGUGCUGCAGCUAACGCAUUAAGCACUCCGCCUGGGGAGUACGACCGCAAGGUUGAAACUAAAGGAAUGACGGGGACCCGCACAAGCGGUGGAGCAUGUGGUUUAAUUGAAGCAACGCGAGAACCUUACCAAAUCUUGACAUCCUUUGACAACUCUAGAAUAGAGCCUUCCCUUCGGGGGACAAAGGACAGGUGGGCAUGUUGUGUCAGUCGUGUCGUGAGUGUGGGUUAAGUCCCGCAACGAGCGCAACCCUUAAUUAUUGCCAUCAUUAAGUUGCACUCUAAGUUGACUGCCGGUGACAACCGAGAGGUGGGGAUGACGUCAAAUCUCAUGCCCCUUGAUUUGGGCUACACACGUGCUACAAUGGACAUACAAAGGGCAGCGAAACCGGAGUCAAGCAAAUCCCAUAAAGUUGUUCCAGUUCGGAUGUAGUCUGCAAUCGACUACUGAAGUGGAAUCGCUGUAAUCUGAUCGCAUGCUCGUGAAUACUUCCCGGGUCUUGUACACACCGCCCUCACACCACGAGAGUU
rnacentral:rRNA from 1 species